UGACAUCACUACAUUCUACUCCUCGGU
rnacentral:piRNA from 1 species